UCAGACGAUGCGUCAUGCAUAUCAAUAAGCGGAGGAAAAGAAACUAACAAGGAUUCCCCUAGUAACGGCGAGUGAAGCGGGAAGAGCUCAAAUUUGAAAUCUUAAAGGGUUUCCCUUUACGAAUUGUAGUUUAAAGAAGUGUUUUCUGUUGAGGUUUUGGUAAAAGUUCUUUGGAAUAGGACAUCAUAGAGGGUGAGAAUCCCGUAUUUGACCUUUACUUUCAACUUUGUGAUACACUUUCAAAGAGUCGGAUUGUUUGGGAAUGCAGUCCAAAAUGGGUGGUAAAUUUCAUCUAAAGCUAAAUAUUGGCGAGAGACCGAUAGCGAACAAGUACCGUGAGGGAAAGAUGAAAAGAACUUUGAAAAGAGAGUUAAACAGUACGUGAAAUUGUCAAAAGGGAAGCGUUUGACACCAGUGUUGUCUUUCUGAAAAUCAAUUAAAGAACUGUUUAUGCUAAGUUGUUUAGACUUUAUCAGCUAACUGUUUAGUUUUGAGCUUUUCUUUAAUGCACUUUUCAGUUAACAAGUCAACAUCAAUUUCUUUUGCUGUAAAAAAGCUUGAGGAAGGUGGCUUGAGAUUCGUCUUAAGUGUUUAUAGCCUCUUGCCUAUGCAGUCGGAGAGAUUGAGGUCUGCAGCGUAGAUCCUUCGGGGCUAAAUGCAUUUGUGCUAAGUUAUAGCAUUUUAUAGACAACUUGUUGACUAUGAUUUGUCUUGUAGCUUACUCGCUUAUGUUAUUUUACCUACGCUUAGGAUGUUGAAUCUGUGCGAGACUAC
rnacentral:rRNA from 1 species